GAUGAAGACGUAGCGAAAUGCGAUAAGUAAUGUGAAUUGCAGAAUUCAGUGAAUCAUCGAAUCUUUGAACGCACAUUGCGCCCGUCAGUAUUCUGGCGGGCAUGCCUGUUCGAGCGUCAUUACGCCCCUCAAGUCCCCUGUGGACUUGGUGUUGGGGAUCGGCGAGGCUGGUUUUCCAGCACAGCCGUCCCUUAAAUUAAUUGGCGGUCUCGCCGUGGCCCUCCUCUGCGCAGUAGUAAAACACUCGCAACAGGAGCCCGGCGCGGUCCACUGCCGUAAAACCCCCCAACUUUUUAUAGUUGACCUCGAAUCAGGUAGGACUACCCGCUGAACUUAAGCAUAUCAAUAAGCGGAGGA
rnacentral:misc_RNA from 1 species